rnacentral:rRNA from 1 species
UACGAGGGGGGCAAGCGUUGUUCGGAAUUAUUGGGCGUAAAGGGCGCGUAGGCGGUUUGACAAGUCUGAUGUGAAAUCUAUGGGCUCAACCCAUAGCCUGCAUUAGAAACUGUCGGGCUUGAGUAUGGGGGAGGUGAGUGGAAUUUCCGGUGUAGCGGUGAAAUGCGUAGAUAUCGGAAGGAACACCUGUGGCGAAAGCGGCUCACUGGACCAUAACUGACGCUGAGGCGCGAAAGCUAGGGGAGCAAACAGG